AAUUUUUUCAAUAAUGGUUUGCUUAGAUCAAGUAUUGAACUUAUUGUUUACUCAGCUUUUCAGUUACCUCUACAAUAAAAUUAAUCAAAAUGGAUAUUUUUUUUUUGUACCUGGGAGUUUGUACAUUAUUCCUUCAAUUUUGAUUGUAUUAUAUUGGGUGAUAACUUCUAAAAAAAAAGACGAUAAAUUACCUUUAAUAAUUUACCCUUAAAAACGAGAAAACAUGGUUGCUAAGAAACAAAGUCGUUUUAGAAAGGAGAAAAAAGAGUAAAAAUUAAAGUUUGUUGGAAAAUGUGACAUCAUGCAUAAAUUAACGAUUUAAUAAAAGAUACCACUUGAGAAUUUUUGUAAUAUAUAGUUUAUUUUUUUACAGUUAAUA
rnacentral:lncRNA from 1 species